AGACCCAGGAUUGUUUGUUUGUUUGUUUCUUGUUAUAAAUCUAAUUGAAUUUUGGAAAAAAUCUUCUUUCCAUCAGGGUGGUGAACUAGACGGACGAUUGCUGUGGUCUCGUCUGGCAAUCUUCCAAACGCGUGUUCUGAAGUUGGUAUGGUCCAGGACACGUGCCAGCAAUAACAGAGUCAUUCCGAAUGUUUCAAUUUGUGUAGUGGGCAUAGAGUGAUUUGAACUUCCUGCUGAUAUAUCUCUGAAUAUGCAAGUAUUCAUUUAGACAGAGGGGAGAAUUGAACCUGGUCUUCCACAUCCCAGAGUUACUAUAGCAACUCCGCCGGAUGUAUUCUUCUGUUGUUUGGUGGAAGUGAACUGGAAACUAGAAGAAGGGCUGAAGUCGGAGAAGGCUGGAUGUUGCCUUCAGCACAGAGCAUGAUCUCUAAAGAAGAGGCUCCCGUUGGCGUGGAAACGCCCUGCGAGGUAUCUGGCUUUGAGGGCUGCUGGCUGAGUACAUCGUUGCCUGCAGGCAGACGAUGCCGUAGUUGCCAGAGACCCUCACACACCGUUUUCCGACCGAGUAUAGGUGUGACUGAGCCGCUGUUGCUUUUAAUCAUGUCCUGAUACCUGACGUGUCACCCAAAGCAAUCGUAGGAGCCGGAGAGGCAUCAGCUGCUGUGCUAAUCAUAAAAUGCAGAGAACUCAAAUCGCCGAAGUCUGGAGAUGCCAGCUGGGCAAUGGGAUUAUUUCUACACACAGUUUGAAAAGAUCAAUAUUCACUGUUUGAGCUGAAUUAUAAUAAACGUGAUGUCAUGUCUCAUUAACAGACCCUUCCCUGCACGGAUUUCAUAUCCUGUCUGGGGAGGACAUAGAGCAGCUACAGAACUGUAUCAAUUUGUCAUUUCAUCCGCAGGUGCUAGCCUGCCAGAGGGAAGGGAUGCUUUGUAGCUGCUUUGGCCCACCGUGCGGUAGGUUCUAGCCAGGAAGAACCUCUGUCCAGCUGGAGAGGGUGUGACGCUGGGGAGUGAAGGCCAUGUGCACACCGAUCUUCCCACUGCCUCUUAAACACAUUCAUUCAGAGCAGUCUUCCGCAAGCCAGUGAGAGGUCCUGUAGUGUCUCAGGUUAGGAGGCAGAGACCAAAAGACGGAGCGAUGUAGCCUGGGAUAGUCAAAGACACCUCAGGGAGCAAUGGAUGGGAUUUUCAAAAGCUCCUAAAUGCCUUUAGGAGCACACAUUGCCCUGAAAGUCACUGGGAUGUGUGCCCCUAACCGACAUUGGGGCUUUUGAAAAGCCCAUCCUUGGUGCCCAGCUCCUAUUGGAAGUCAGUAGGGGUUGGACAACUAACUCCUUUGGGUUCCUCUGAAGCAGUGACUAGCAGGUAAAAACCAGGGGAGCAGAG